UCGUGUCGUGAGAUGUUGGGUUAAGUCCCGCAACGAGCGCAACCCCUAUUGUUAGUUGCCAUCAUUCAUUGGGCACUCUAGCGAGACUGCCGGUAAUAAACCGGAGGAAGGUGGGGAUGACGUCAAAUCAUCAUGCCCCUUAUGACCUGGGCUACACACGUGCUACAAUGGUUGGUACAACGAGUUGCGAGUCGGUGACGGCGAGCUAAUCUCUUAAAGCCAAUCUCAGUUCGGAUUGUAGGCUGCAACUCGCCUACAUGAAGUCGGAAUCGCUAGUAAUCGCGGAUCAGCUCGCCGCGGUGAAUACGUUCCCGGGCCUU
rnacentral:rRNA from 1 species